rnacentral:tRNA from 1 species
GUUCUUAUAGUGUAGUUAUAGCACAUUAGAUUUUCAAUCUUUAAGAAUAUUAAUUUAUGUAAUAUUAAGAAUA